GACGAACGCUGGCGGCGUGCUUAACACAUGCAAGUCGAACGGAAAGGCCCUGCUUUUGUGGGGUGCUCGAGUGGCGAACGGGUGAGUAACACGUGAGUAACCUGCCCUUGACUUUGGGAUAACUUCAGGAAACUGGGGCUAAUACCGGAUAGGAGCUCCUGCUGCAUGGUGGGGGUUGGAAAGUUUCGGCGGUUGGGGAUGGACUCGCGGCUUAUCAGCUUGUUGGUGGGGUAGUGGCUUACCAAGGCUUUGACGGGUAGCCGGCCUGAGAGGGUGACCGGCCACAUGGGAACUGGGAAACGGCCCAGACUCCAAGGGGAGGCAGCAGGGGGGAAUAUUGCACAAUGGGCGGAAGCCUGAUGCAGCAACGCCGCGGGGGGGAUGACGGCCUUGGGGUUGUAAACCGCUUUCGCCUGUGACGAAGCGGGAGUGGCGGUAAUGGGUAAAGAAGCACCGGCUAACUACGU
rnacentral:rRNA from 1 species